CGGCGGUUCGUUAUCAGCUGCCAGUGAACUCUGCUCUUUCGUUUCGGCAGCGACUCCUACUCGGCUCUACUAUUAUUACACGAAUAUGUUACACAACCCGCGGACCGUUCCGGCCUUCAGUUGAACGAUAAUAUUAAAAAAAAGAAAAUAAAGUCAAUAUACGAGUACAGCCAAAAUAACACGAAAAAGGUAUAUCAAAUAAAAUUAAAUCUAUCAAAAUAAGCAUUCAUAUACCUUGGACUUGAUAACAGCCGUCGCGAGUAAUGGUGACAUGGAGGAAAUGUAUCCCAACGCGAGUAUAGCUGGAGUAGAAGGAUAUUCUUUGCUAUUCAAAAUUACGUUCAAUAAUGAAACUAUACCGCCAGUAGUCACGAUCAUCUUAGAAAUCUAUAUAGAAUGUUUGACUACUUCAUAAACGACUUCAGCCGAAUUGUAACGUAUAGAUUCGUCUGGAUGCGCCAUCAGCA